rnacentral:rRNA from 1 species
UACGUAGGGUGCGAGCGUUGUCCGGAAUUAUUGGGCGUAAAGAGCUCGUAGGCGGUCUGUCGCGUCGAUCGUGAAAACUCGGGGCUUAACCCCGAGCCUGCAGUGGAUACGGGCAGACUAGAGGUAGGUAGGGGAGAAUGGAAUUCCCGGUGUAGCGGUGAAAUGCGCAGAUAUCGGGAGGAACACCGGUGGCGAAGGCGGUUCUCUGGGCCUUACCUGACGCUGAGGAGCGAAAGCGUGGGGAGCGAACAGG